UGGCGGCAUGUUUGGAAAAAUAAUAUUUACAAAACCUGAGCAAACUGAAAACAGUCCUUAAGCUUCCCAUAACGUGUCAUGAGUUGAAACGUACGUAUUGCAUCAUUUUGGUGAUAUCUGUGUGGAGAGAAUGGAUUGCCAGACAAGGAUUGGAAAAAAUUCAUGAGGACUCACAUCUCGAAUUUGUCACAAACACGUGUAAAAGAGCUAAUUCAAGAUAAGAUCCACCACAAAAGCAUGACAGUUGAACAUCUUGAGCCAAGAAAUGAUGGUGAAAAGUAUUGAGAGAGAGUACUGGUGAUGACUGACAACAACAAUGCAAAUGAAAGGUAGACAAUGGUUUAGUUGAAGAUUGCAGUUAUGGAAGAAUAAUUAAUGAUGUUUACCGGGAUUGAAGGUUACAAGAUGAUCUCUUGAAAUACUGAUUACAGAUAGCUGAGCGAAGCAAAUGAUAAAGAUUGGACCUGAGAAAGCAUCACCUAGGAAAGGCAGUAGAAAUUCGCUGUUUGUCAGAAGAAGAAAAGCCACUACAGUAAUGACAUCGAGAAAAACUCAUCCUACACUAUGGUUUGCUCGAUAGAGAAGCUAUUUUGAAGACUGGCGUCUCGUGUUCCUAAGGUUUCUUCGACCACCUAAGGCUGGAUACCAAGGAACACGAUCACCUUAAGCAUAAGGCCAGAGACAAAUAACAAUCUUAGAGAGAAAGAAAAAUUGGAUCGACCCCAAUUCAGAGAAUAAAAUAAAAAAAUUGGGGUUUGAUCCGUCCACCAUCCCCCACCACACCUGCCCCUAUUAAAAGGUACUUAUAGGUUAUCAACCUUGAAGGGAAAACGCAAACGGUUUCUGUCCACCAUCUACCACCACACCCGCCACUUUUAUUAACUCAUGAUAAUGCAUCUACCUUGUGAUGCAGUACAGUAUAUUACUGUACAGUACUACAAUACAAUCUUUUAAUAUAUAGUACAGUAGUAAUAUUACAAACUCUUUAUUACAAUUUUUUAAUACAGUAAUAUUACAAAUUUGAUAUAGUUGUUUUUCUCCAUCCGACCUCCCCCGCCCGCCAACCUCUUGCAGACAAUUUUCUUUAUUCUUUUUAAAAGUUGUCCACCUUGUGGUAGUAACAUCUACUGUCAAACGCAUGCGUUUUAUCUAGCCAAAUGUCUGUCUUUAUACACAUGCGUAUUACACGAGGCUAUUACCACAAGGUAGUCAAUUUUUGCAAAUACUGAAACACUGCCUUUGCACAUUAGACAUGGUUGGGAACGGAGGCGCAUCUACCCCUAAUUCUUAUUUCUUCUCGGAAGGUUGACAAUUGUUUGGUUUUUUGGUCAUUCUUCAUGAAUUCUAUGAAGGGAAAAAUAAAGAAAUAUGUAUGAGCCACAAUAUAAUAGUAUAAUACACGACAUGUUGUAAUUGUAUACAUAAAAAAGUUUUGUACAAUCGGACAUUCGUUGGACAAAGCACAACAACAACAACAAAACAAUGAAUAUGUACGCAAUGAAACAAUGAAAUAA